rnacentral:rRNA from 1 species
AGGGUUUGAUCCUGGCUCAGAGCGAACGUUAGCGGGAGGCUUAACACAUACAAGUCGAGCGAGAACGUCACUUCGGUGGCUAGUACAGCGGCGGACGGGUGAGUAACACGUGGAUAAUCUGCCCUUUGGCGGGGGACAACAGCUCGAAAGGGUUGCUAAUACCGCAUACGUCUCUAGAGACCUCGGUCUUUAGAGGGAAAGAUGGCCUCUUCUUGAAAGCUAUCACCAAAGGAUGAGUCCGCGUAGCAUCAGCUUGUUGGUGGGGUAAUGGCCUACCAAGGCUUAGACGCUUAGCUGGUCUGAGAGGAUGAUCAGCCGCACUGGGACUGAGAUACGGCCCAGACUCCUACGGGAGGCAGCAGUGGGGAAUAUUGGACAAUGGGCGCAAGCCUGAUCCAGCCAUCCCGCGUUGAGUUGAUGAAGGCUUUCGGGUCGUAAAGCUCUGUGGGGAGAGACNAAACGUCAACNAGAACAAUAACCUGUUUGAUCUGACGGUUAUCUCUUUAGCAAGCACCGGCUAACUCCGUGCCAGCCAGCCUGCGUGUAAUACGUGUGGGGUGCAAACGUUGCCUCGGAAAUCUUUGGGGCGUUAAAGC